rnacentral:rRNA from 1 species
UACGUAGGGGGCAAGCGUUACCCGGAUUUACUGGGCGUAAAGAGUGUGUAGGCGGUGCUCCCAGUCUGUUGUGAAAUCUCCCGGCUUAACUGGGAGGGUGCAGCGGAAACUAGAGUGCUAGAGGGUGGGAGAGGUAAGCGGAAUUCCUGGUGUAGCGGUGAAAUGCGUAGAUAUCAGGAGGAACACCUGUGGUGUAGACAGCUUACUGGACCACUUCUGACGCUGAGACACGAAAGCGUGGGUAGCAAACAGG